ACCUUGCUGACGAGUGCUAAGUAGCACGAAACACGGGUCCAGGGU
rfam:Schistosoma haematobium scaffold812_8, whole genome shotgun sequence.